UACAGAGGGUGCAAGCGUUAAUCGGAAUUACUGGGCGUAAAGCGCGCGUAGGUGGUUUGUUAAGUUGGAUGUGAAAUCCCCGGGCUCAACCUGGGAACUGCAUUCAAAACUGACAAGCUAGAGUAUGGUAGAGGGUGGUGGAAUUUCCCGUGUAGCGGUGAAAUGCGUAGAUAUCUGGAGGAACAUCAGUGGCGAAGGCGACACCCUGGACUCAUACUGACACUGAGAUGCGAAAGCGUGGGGAGCAAACAGG
rnacentral:rRNA from 1 species